GAGAAUGUGGCUCAGUUGGUAGAGUGCUUGCCUGGAAUGCAUGAAGCUCUGGGUUUGAUUCCCAGCAUCUCA
rnacentral:tRNA from 1 species